rnacentral:tRNA from 1 species
GGAAGCGUAGCUCAGAGGUAGUGCAUCUGCUUGGCACACAGAAGGCUCCAGGUUCAAUCACUGUCAUCUCCA